rnacentral:pre_miRNA from 1 species
UAUAUACUCCCUCCGUCCGGAAAUACUUGUCAUCAAAAUGGAUAAAAGGGAUGUAUCUAGAUGUAUUUUAGUUUUAGAUACAUCCUUUUUUGUCCAUUUUGAUGACAAGUAUUUUCGGACGGAGGGAGUAUAAU